rnacentral:sRNA from 8 species
UCUGUCUAUCACUUCCCGCCAUGAAAAUCGCAACGGCUCUUAUCGUGGUGGGAAGGCGCAUGGGCAGGAUGGUGUAACCAUCCGGCGAUAGCCACCCAUGCGCUAGAUGACAGGCUCCUCCGGGGCCUUUUUUUGUGCCCGAAAUCGGGCUCCCGGCCACAAACUCAAAUCCCAGCAUCAAACGGAAAAGACAGAUGAGCACGGACAAUCAGGCGGCAGGCAAUCGGAUGACGGGGGCGGAGAUCGUUCUCAAGGCGCUGAAGGACAACGGCGUCGAACAUAUCUUCGGCUAUCCCGGC